rnacentral:tRNA from 1 species
GGGGGGUUAGCUCAUUUGGACUAGAGCGCCUGCUUUGCACGCAGGAGGUGGUGGGUUCGAAUCCCAUACUCUCUCUCACCA